rnacentral:rRNA from 1 species
UACGUAGGGUGCAAGCGUUGUCCGGAAUUAUUGGGCGUAAAGAGCUCGUAGGCGGUUUGUCGCGUCUGCUGUGAAAACUCGGGGCUUAACCCCGGGCCUGCAGUGGGUACGGGCAGACUAGAGUGCGGUAGGGGAGACUGGAAUUCCUGGUGUAGCGGUGAAAUGCGUAGAUAUGUGGAGGAACACCGAUGGCGAAGGCGACUUCCUGGCCUGUUCUUGACGCUGAGGCGCGAAAGCUAGGGGAGCAAACGGG